GAUGAACGCUGGCGGCGUGCCUAAUACAUGCAAGUCGAGCGAACAGACGAGGAGCUUGCUCCUUUGACGUUAGCGGCGGACGGGUGAGUAACACGUAGGUAACCUACCUAUAAGACUGGGAUAACUUCGGGAAACCGGAGCUAAUACCGGAUAAUAUUUCGAACCGCAUGGUUCGAUAGUGAAAGAUGGCUUUGCUAUCACUUAUAGAUGGACCUGCGCCGUAUUAGCUAGUUGGUAAGGUAACGGCUUACCAAGGCAACGAUACGUAGCCGACCCGAGAGGGUGAUCGGCCAGACGGGAACUGAGACACGGUCCAGACUCCUACGGGAGGCAGCAGUAGGGAAUCCUCCGCAAUGGGGGAAAGCCUGACGGAGCAACGCCGCGGGAGUGAUGAAGGUCCUCGGAUCGUAAAACUCUGUUAUUAGGGAAGAACAAACGUGUAAGUAACUGUGAACGUCUUGACGGUACCUAAUCAGAAAGCCACGGCUAACUACGUG
rnacentral:rRNA from 1 species